rnacentral:rRNA from 1 species
AUGGUGGGGGAGGCUCUAUUGACUUCAUGUCAUGUCCUGAAUAGAGUUCCCAACAAUAAUAAAGAGAAAACCCCUUAUGAGGAGUGGGUUGGGAGAAAACCAUCACUUUCUUAUUUGCGCACUUGGGGAUGUUUGGCAAAGGUCAAUAUUCCUAUUCCUAAGAAACGCAAACUUGGACCAAAGACAGUGGAUUGUGUCUUUCUAGGGUAUGCUCAACGGAGCAUUGCUUAUAGGUUUUUAGUGGUAAAAUCUGAAGUACCUAAUAUGCAUGUUGAUACUAUAAUGGAAUCUCGUGAUGCAACAUUUUUUGAGAACAUAUUUCCUAUGAAAGAUAUGCAUAGCAUUGCUAGAUUUUCUUCUGAGAUAAUUCCUGAAUCUAGUACAACUGAUGAAUAUUUCGAACAAUCACAUGAGGAAGUCCUUGAGAAGGAUAACAAUGAAGUUCCUAGAAGGAACAAGAGACAAAGGAUUGCAAAAUCAUUUGGUGAUGAUUUCAUUGUAUACCUUGUGGACGACACACCCAAGACGAUUGCAGAAGCAUAUGCAUCUCCGGAUGUAGAUGAUUGGAAAGAAGCUGGUCAUAAUGAGAUGGAAUCAAUUCUUUCUAAUGGAACUUGGGAACUAACUGAUAGACCAUAUGGUUGUAAACCUGUGGGCUGUAAGUGGGUGUUCAAAAAGAAGCUAAAGCCUGAUGGUACUAUUGAUAAGUACAAGGCGCGGCUAGUGGCCAAGGGCUACACUCAGAAAGAAGGCGAAGAUUACUUUGACACCUAUUCACCCGUUGCUAGAAUGACCACCAUUCGAGUGUUACUUUCCUUGGCUGCCUCUUAUGGUCUUAUCAUUCAUCAAAUGGAUGUAAAGACAGCUUUUCUCAAUGGAGAGUUGGAAGAGGAGAUCUAUAUGGAUCAGCCUGACGGGUUUGUGGUAAAGGGUGAAGAGAGAAAGGUGUGCAAGUUGUUAAAAUCUUUGUAUGGUCUGAAACAGGCACCUAAGCAAUGGCAUGAGAAGUUUGAAAGAACUCUGACUUCUGCAGGAUUUGUCAUUAACGAGGCUGAUAGGUGUGUUUACUAUCGCCAUGGUGGGGGGCAAUAG